rnacentral:rRNA from 1 species
GACGUAGGGCGCGAGCGUUGUCCGGAUUUAUUGGGCGUAAAGAGCUCGUAGGCGGCUUGGCAAGUCGGGUGUGAAAACUUCAGGCUCAACCUGGAGAUGCCACCCGAGACUGCUAUGGCUUGAGUCCGGUAGGGGACCACGGAAUUCCUGGUGUAGCGGUGAAAUGCGCAGAUAUCAGGAGGAACACCGGUGGCGAAGGCGGUGGUCUGGGCCGGCACUGACGCUGGAGGAGCGAAAGCGUGGGGAGCAAACAGG